UACGUAGGGGGCAAGCGUUGUCCGGAUUCAUUGGGCGUAAAGAGCGUGUAGGCGGCCAGGUAGGUCGGUUGUGAAAACUGGAGGCUCAACCUUCAGAGGUCGACCGAAACCAUCUGGCUAGAGUACGGAAGAGGCGAGUGGAAUUCCUGGUGUAGCGGUGGAAUGCGCAGAUAUCAGGAGGAACACCAAUAGCGAAGGCAGCUCGCUGGGACGUUACUGACACUGAGGCGCGAAAGCGUGGGGAGCGAACAGG
rnacentral:rRNA from 1 species